rnacentral:rRNA from 1 species
GGUUGAUCCUGCCAGUAGUCAUAUGCUUGUCUCAAAGAUUAAGCCAUGCAUGUCUCAGUGUAAACUUUUAAACGGUGAAACUGCGAAUGGCUCAUUAAAACAGUUAUAGUUUAUUUGAUGUUCAUUCUUACAUGGAUAACCGUGGGAAUUCCAGGGCUAAUACAUGCGGCUCCUCUGGAGCGAGUGUUUAUUAGAUUGAAACCAAAACCGUGUCAAAGCGGGUCUAUUGGAAUGAUAAUAACCUAUCGAAUCGCAUGCCGUAUGGCGGCGAUAGAUCAUUCAAGUUUCUGAC